ACGGCAGCACAGGAGAGCUUGCUCUCUNGGGUGGCGAGUGGCGGACGGGUGAGGAAUACAUCGGAAUCUACUCUGUCGUGGGGGAUAACGUAGGGAAACUUACGCUAAUACCGCAUACGACCUACGGGUGAAAGCAGGGGAUCUUCGGACCUUGCGCGAUUGAAUGAGCCGAUGUCGGAUUAGCUAGUUGGCGGGGUAAAGGCCCACCAAGGCGACGAUCCGUAGCUGGUCUGAGAGGAUGAUCAGCCACACUGGAACUGAGACACGGUCCAGACUCCUACGGGAGGCAGCAGUGGGGAAUAUUGGACAAUGGGCGCAAGCCUGAUCCAGCCAUACCGCGUGGGUGAAGAAGGCCUUCGGGUUGUAAAGCCCUUUUGUUGGGAAAGAAAUCCAGCCGGCUAAUACCCGGUUGGGAUGACGGUACCCAAAGAAUAAGCACCGGCUAACUUCGUGCCAGCAGCCGCGGUAAUACGAAGGGUGCAAGCGUUACUCGGAAUUACUGGGCGUAAAGCGUGCGUAGGUGGUCGUUUAAGUCCGUUGUGAAAGCCCUGGGCUCAACCUGGGAACUGCAGUGGAUACUGGGCGACUAGAGUGUGGUAGAGGGUAGCGGAAUUCCUGGUGUAGCAGUGA
rnacentral:rRNA from 1 species